AAUGGCAGCUUCAGGAGAGAGCGGGACUUCGGGCGGCGGAGGCAGCACAGAGGCAGCAUUUAUGACCUUCUACAGUGAGGUGAAACAAAUAGAGAAGAGAGACUCGGUUCUAACAUCCAAAAAUCAGAUUGAAAGCCUGACCCAUCCUGGUUCCUCUUACUUCAAUUUGAACCCAUUUGAGGUUCUUCAGAUCGAUCCUGAAGUUACAGAUGAAGAAAUAAAAAAGAGGUUUCGGCAGUUAUCCAUAUUGGUGCAUCCUGACAAAAAUCGAGAUGAUGCUGACAGAGCACAAAAGGCUUUUGAAGCUGUGGACAAAGCUUACAAGUUGCUACUGGAUCAGGAGCUAAAGAAGAGGGCCCUGGAUAUAAUUCAGGCAGGAAAACAAUACGUGGAACACACUGUGAAAGAGCAAAAAAAAAACAAUUAAAGAAGGAAGGAAAACCUACGAUUGUAGAGGAGGAUGAUCCUGAGCUGUUCAAACAAGCUGUAUAUAAACGGACAAUGAAACUCUUUGCCGAGCUGGAAAUUAAAAGGAAAGAGAGAGAAGCCAAAGAGAUGCAUGAAAGGAAACGACAAAGGGAGGAAGAGAUCGAAGCUCAAGAAAAAGCCAAACAAGAAAGAGAGUGGCAGAAAAACUUUGAGGAAAGUCGAGAUGGUCGUGUAGACAGCUGGCGAAAUUUCCAAGCCAAUACAAAGGGGAAGAAAGAGAAGAAAAAUCGGACCUUCCUGAGACCACCAAAAGUAAAAAUGGAGCAGCGUGAGUGACCGCCCAGGGUCACAGGCACAGAACCUUCCCCCUGCUGUCUCCCUUCCUGCUUCGAAGGACUCAUUCUUUCCUCCCACUUCCACCCCAACAUAGAGUAGUAUUUGCUUUUUAGUCCAUUUUUUUUCAAUACAAUUUAAUAUCGAUCAGAGUAAUUCUUUAGUACAUUGAAAUGAGGGGCUUAGUUUAAAAAGAAGACCUUCCCCUCUCCCUGCCCCUAGAACCACCAGGAUUGGAAGGUGCCACCACUGGUGCUGCCUUCUCUUCCCACAGC